ACAAACGUCUUAUCUCUUCAAUUUUAUUUACUUUUCCAAGACGCUUGAGAUUACUCUAGGGCUGCUGAAAUAACUUUGAUGUCUGCCCUUCUCUAUACUCUCAUCCCUUCAUUUCUCGCUUUCUUCCUUCAAUCUGGUUCUUUUGCCCUCUCAGUUUCUGCUUGGAUUUCUGCCGCUUCAGGGACUCUGCCGAUCAGGUAGGCUCCUCUACUACUCUUCAGCGCUUCAUUUGCUAAUAUAUGCGCAAGGUUGUUUGCUAAUCUUGGGAUAUGCUCAAACCUACACUCCUUGAAUUUAAGCAGAAGUUGAUGAAUAUCAUGUAAAUACGCACUAAUCAAUGAUUUAUCGGGGCUUUUUGUUUUACAUUUUCUUAUUAUUGAUAAAGAAUCCCCUUCAAUAAUAGCUUUUUCCCACUGCAUGUUAACGCCGAUCUGGAGGGCUUUCCGACACGCUAUUGCUUCCGCCCCAAAGGCUGAGGGAACUCUUUGAUGAACCUCCGUACAUGAUAGAAGAACUGAACCCUCCUUAUCGCGGGCCACAACCCCAAUAGCCGCUUUACUUUGUCUACCGUCGUACGCUGCAUCGAAAUUGAUUUUGACUAUCUUGUCUACUGGCUUUGUCCAUAUUUUUACAGGUAUGGAAGAUUGCAACCUAUUUUUACCAACUGCAUCAAGAUCUGAAAUAUAGCUAUGAACAAAUCUCCCUACUUCUUUUCCAGAUUUACCAUCUUUUUUAUGCAAUCUAUUGUUCCUGUCUCCCCAGAUGGCCCAUACUGCAACACAAAAGAUUCGAUGCUGAGGAGUCGAGCUUUGUGAGAAAACCCAGGUUAGCCACUGUAGAAACCCCAUUUGAUUAUCUUGCAAAAACCUAUGAAAAGAUAACUCUCUCCAUACUGCUAUUGUAGAUGGACAUUCCCGGAAGAGAUGGUCCAUAGUUUCAGUUCCUGAACUACAGCGAGGACAUACUGACGUGUUCGUCAGUCUUCUAAGUAGCAUAUUAGCUCACGUAGCUAGAAAAUUCCAAGAUAUCUUCCAAACUGUAAUUUUAAUUUUUGAAGGAAGAUCAAGUAGCCAUAGUUUUCUGUAGAAGUCCUUGUAGUCAUUUUGUAAAGCAUAAGCUUCAGGGUUAUUUUCAAUGCUUUGUAAUAGUUUAUAGGCGCUCCGUGUUGUGAACUCACCCGUCGCUUCAACGCUCCAAACUUGGAAAUCUUCGUGCGGUGUUUCAGUUAGUGGGAUACUGAGGAUCUUCUCUGCUACAUCAUUCGGAAAGGUAUGCUCUACCAACUCUUGUUUCCAUGUUCUGCUACUUGAAUCAAUUAGCUCUGCAACUUUACUAUCAUUCAAAUUUAAACUUAAAACUGGUAAUCUAUCACGCGGUAAAACUGGAAUCCAAUAAUCACGACUGAUUGAAAUUUUUGUACCUCGCCCCACCUUCCAACAUAAGCCCUCUGCUAGGAUGCCCUUAACAGCCUAAAUACUUUUCCAUGUAUACGAUAUAUUAUUCCCCAACUGUGAGUUUAAAAAAUCAACACUUGGAAAAUAUUUCGCUUUUAAUACUUGCGCAACUAAAGAAUUUGGGUUGUUUAUAAUACGCCAUCCUUGCUUAGCUAAAAGUGAAACAUUAAAUUGAGCCAUAUUUCUAAAGCCCAAUCCACCCUCUUCUUUAGGACGACAUAAGUACUUCCACUGACACCAAUGAAUACCUCUCCUACCAUGCGUUUUUUGCCACCAAAAUUUAGCAAAAAUAUUUUCAAAUUCUCCACAAAGAGUCUUUGGUAAUAAGAAGCAUGACAUAGCGUACGUUGGAAUGGCCUGUAACACCGAUUUAAUAAAGACUUCUUUACCUCCUUGAGAUAACAUUCUAGUACUCCACCCAUCAAUCCUGGUAGCAAUCUUUUCUUUUAAAUGCUGAAAGGAUUCUUUCUUUCGUCGACCAACCAUGUUUGGAAGCCCUAGAUAUCGUUCUAAGUUUGUUGAGAUUCUAACCCCCAAUUUUGCCGAAACUUCAUUCAUUUUUUCUUCUGACGUAUUGGUGCUGAAAAAUAUGGUAGACUUGUUGAAAUUAACGCACUGUCCAGAACAUAUUUCAUAUUCCUUCAAAAUUUCCUUUAGUAUACUGGCACCCCUAUCAGAUGCUUCCCCAAACAACAUACAAUCAUCUGCAAAGAGUAGAUGUGAAAUUUCUGGUCCUCUUCUGCUUGCUUUUGCACCCUUUAUCAGUCUAUUUUCUGAAGCCAAUCUCAUUAAAGAUGAUAACCCCUCACUACAAAUCAGAAAAAGAAAGGGGCUCAGCGGAUCUCCUUGACGUAAGCCUCGAGACGGUGAAAAAACUCUUCCACUUCUACCAUUUAUAUUAACUGCAUAGGAUGUUGUGGAAACACAAGUCAUAAUCAGCUUAACCCACUCUGGUGUGAAGCCCAUUCGUAACAUCACUUCCUUUAAGAAUCCCCACUCAACCCUAUCAUAGGCUUUGCUCAUGUCAAGUUUAACUGCCAUGUAUCCUUUUUUUCCUGUGCGCUUUUGCCGAAAAGUAUGUAAGAUCUCAUAAGCUAGUAUCACAUUGUCUGUUAUUAGCCUUCCCGGGACGAACGCACUUUGAGCAGCAUCAAUGCAUCUUCCAAUAACUGCUUGUAGUCGAGUUGCAAUUGUUUUUGCCACCAUUUUGUGAUUACUGAACAUAAACUGAUAGGUCUGAAAUUAACUAUGCUAGUGGGAUUUGGAAUUUUUGGGAUCAGCACAAUGUCGGUGUGAUUUAAAUUACCAAAACUUGCACCGUUAUUUAAAAUUUCCAAGCAAAGAUUGGUUAUUUCCUUACCUACGAUAUGCCAGAAUUUCUGAAAGAAAAUGGCUGGAAAACCAUCAUAUCCUGGAGCUUUUGUUGGUCCCAUUUCCUUUAAUGCCGCAUACAAUUCUUCUGCUGUAAAGGUUAACAUUAGCUCUCUAUUGAUAUCAGAUGAAAUAUUUUCCUUUAUUCCCGAUAGGAGAUAUGAACUUUCCACCCUUCCUUUUGUCGUGAAAAGUUCCUGAAAAUAGGAUGUGGCCACAUCAUUAAUCUCACUCUCCUCAGUUGCUUCUCCGCCCACAGAUUUCUCCAAUUUGGAUAUUGAAUUUAUACGUCUUCUAGAAGUAGCAAACCUGUGAAAAAAACUGUAUUUUUAUCACCCACUUUCAGCCAAUUUGCCCUUGCUCUUUGUUCCUAAUAUAUUUCAUCCUUAUCAAUUUCCAUAUUUAAGUGGAUCUUAGUGUCUACAAUGUCUGCCGUUGUGUUGUCAUUCAUUUCUUUCCCCAUUAACACUUCCAGCUGCUUUGUUAACUUUUUCUUUAGCCCCUCCCGACCUUUCUUAAUCCUUCUCGCCCAAUCUAAUAAAUCUGCUUGCAACUUUCCAAGUUUCUCAGCUACUGGGCCUGUUCCUGACUCCCAAGAUUCUUUAAUUAUUUUUUCACAAGUAUCCUCCAUCAACCACCACGCUUCAAAUUUAAAUUUUGAAUUGCCAUUAUGAAUGCUUUCGCCAUCUGUGUUAAUUAGAAGUGGGCAGUGGUUUGACAUUGUGUGGGGUAGAUGGUUAACUCUACCUGCUGGGAAAAGGAGCCUCCAUUUAUCAUUUACCACCCCUUAUCAAGUCUUUCUCUAAUAUUUGUCUCUGGUAAAUUUCCCCUUUCCCAUGUAAACCAUACUCCCGAAAAACCCAAAUCUUCUAAAUGGCAAUUCUCUAAGACCUCUCGAAAUGCCUUCAUUCUGUUCUCUUCCCUUGGGGCACCCCCACAUUUCUCAAAAGAAUACAUGAUCUCAUUGAAGUCACCACUUACCUACCAUGGGUGGCUGUUAUCUUGCUCCAGAUUUAUCAGCAAAUCCCACGAAUCACUCUUAUUGUGGACAUAUGGAGAGCCAUAGAAACCUGUAAAUCUCCACUCUUUGUUACCCUGUUCCUCUUCAACCAAAACAUCAAUGUUAUUCCUAGAAAAACUUCGUAAACUUACUUUGGUGUCACCUUUCCAUGCUAAGCAUAAUCAUACUUUCGAACCUUGUGCUUCUAUAUCAAUACCAUUCAUAAAACCGCAUCUCUGUCUGAUUUUUUCUAUCCUCUGUCUAUCAACUUUGGUCUCCAUUAAGAAGAUCAUUUGGGGAUUGUGCUGCUUGAGGAAGUAAUGUAACCUUCUUCCAGCUCGUGGACUCCCCAAUCCACGAACAUUCCAGCUGAUGGUUUUCAUUGCGUCCGGUCGGUUUGCCUAUUAGCAGCCGCCGAUAUCAAUAAAUCUUGAACUUCAAUUUGCUCAUUAGUGUCUGUCACCAUUUCCACUGGGUCUUUGUAGUAGUCUGAAGUAUCCUGUUUCAACCUUUUAAUUCCAUCUCUGUCUCCUUUUCCUGUAUGAUCGCUGGUAAAAUCUGCAUCAAUGGGCUUCCUCUUCCUCGUAUUAUUUCCAACUUUUGUCGUUGUUGUGCCAUGUUGAAUGCUUAUCCAUUUUGUAUGUUUCUCUUGAUUUGGAUUUUGGCUCUUCUCUCUAUUACAAUUACUCACUUUCUCAGCUUCCUCUUGUCUCCAAAUACCUGCAUAUUCUUUUAGCAUCUUCCUCCUUUCCUUUAAAUUCACCUUCUCAGCUUCCUCUACCUCCAAAAUACCUUCCUGUUCUUCUGGCAUCACCUCCCCUUCUUUUAAUUUCAAAUUCUCCUGCGGGCCCCCUCUUCAUUGCUUCAUUUCUCAGCACAUUUAAUACUAUUGGGUGAAAUUCUCUCUUCUCCGAUAUAAGAACUCUGAACCCCCGUCUGUUUCUUUAAACUAUUAAAUUUCACACUUUCUUUUCCAAUUAAUCUUGAUUCUGCUUUUAAAGCCACAGAAUAAGGAGGAUUUUCACUGAUUUUCUACCAUCUCAAAAAUUAUUAGAAAUAAGUUUUGUCCCACCAAUCUGAUUUCAAACUUUUUUCUUGUCUUCCAUAAACUUUUCAUAUGAGCCCUAAAACUAUCUGGGUUAUAUAAUUUCCCCGUCCAAACCGUACAAAUCAAUGUAGGUUUGGAACUUGGUACCACCAACGAUCCUUUGACUGAUAGUUGAACUAAUUCUUCAGCAAAAAAGACCGAUCUCAUCCCCUUCCUCUCUAUCGUCGCCACCGCUUGCUUCCAUCCCCAGCCACAGUAGUUACUGCUAUCUCUAGGGUUUCUCAACCAAGCACUCUUGGGAGCAGAGAGUUAAAAAAAUUAAAUUGAAAAUAAAAUUUUUUAAAAAAUAGUAAUUAGAUUUAUUAAAAUAAUUGUUGUAUGGCCUUUUUUUUUGUCUAUAUUGCUUGCACUAAUUGAAAGAUUUCCUUCUCCUUCUCUUCCACAAUGCAAUUUUUUUAUGAAACAUAUUUGAAUGUCAUGAAUCUGCAAACCAAAAUUCAUUCUUCGAUCUUCAACACAGACAAUCAGAUUAACUUGAAUCUAUUAAUGUAUGUUCUUCUACUUAUUAAUGGGUACCGAUCCACUAUGCCGAUCGUCGAAUCAUUACUUGAAACUUAAAUGAAAACUUUCGAAUAGGUCAAUGAUCAUAUUAUAAAUUUUUAAAAUUACUAAUAAUUUAUUUUCCUUUUAUUUUAUAUUAUUUAUCCAUAUCUCAAAAAAUAGAUCAAAAGUGACUAUAAAGUAACUUGACGAGCUUUUCUAUUUUAACACACGAAAUGCAUGAUGUGUGAUGCUAUUAGUGCCCUUUUAAUGCAAUAAAAAAGUACAUAACGAAAUUGGGUGUUUCUAUAAGUGAUUAUGGAGAUGGAAGCCAUGAUGUCAUUUAGAGUUCAAUAAUAUCUUUAUCUAAUUUGAUGCUUAUUGGCUAGCAAAAAAGUAUCUAUCAUUUUUAUCAUGCGCACACUAUAUAUGAUUUUUUUUAAAUUUUCCAAAUUGUAGGUCCAUUUAGCAUCGUAUUCCUUCACAUUGAUUCGUGCAUUAAAUUGAAUUCCGUCGUGUAUGAAUUCACCAAAAUAUUACCUAAUUAAUUUUCUCAUGUAAUCGUAUGCAAUGAAGUCAGUGAUGAUCAAUGGCUUGAUUUGCUUUGUAAAAGCCAGAAACCCUUAUUUCAAUUAAAUAUUUAAUUACGAUAGAGAAAAAAUAAAUUAAAAUACAUAUAUUGUGUAUUUGUCAAUUAUAUAUGUAAAAUUUUAAAUUAAUUUAAUAUUUUUAUUAUUUUGUAUUAAUAUAUAUAACAUGAAAUAUUAGGGUUGAAUUAUGGGAAGAAUAGUUUUAUACUGACGUGAGUAAGUCGUAUAAAUUAUUCAUUACCAAAGCCCAGUUGCUGAAGACAAAGACAUGAAUUAGGGUAAAUAUUAGAUUGUAGCUAAGACUACUAAAAUAAUGUUAUGCAAGUUGAUUAAGUGGAUAAGAACGGAUCGACAUGGCAGAAAUG
rnacentral:lncRNA from 1 species